rnacentral:rRNA from 1 species
UACGAAGGGUGCAAGCGUUACUCGGAAGUUACUGGGCGUAAAGCGUGCGUAGGUGGUUUGUUAAGUCUGAUUGUGAAGCCCCGGCUCAACCUGGGAAUGGCAAUGGAUACUGGCAAGGCUAGAGUGCGGUAGAGGGUAGUGGGAAUUCCCGGUGUAGCGGUGAAAUGCGUAGAAGAUCGGGAGGAACACCAGUGGCGAAAGGCGGC